GUGGGGAAUAUUGGACAAUGGGCGAAAGCCUGAUCCAGCAAUGCCGCGUGAGUGAUGAAGGCCUUCGGGUUGUAAAGUUCUUUAGCCGAUGAUUAUAAUGACUGUAGUCGGAAAAUAAGCCCCGGCUAACUUCGUGCCAGCAGCCGCGGUAAUACGAAGGGGGCGAGCGUUAUUCGGAAUCACUGGGCGUAAAGCGUGCGUAGGCGGUUUUGUAAGUUAGGAGUGAAAGCCCAGGGCUCAACCUUGGAAUUGCUCUUAAAACUGCAAGGCUCGAAUCUCGGAGAGGAUAGCGGAAUUUCCAGUGUAGCAGUGAAAUGCGUAGAUAUUGGAAGGAACACCAGUGGCGUAAGCGGCUAUCUGGACGAGUAUUGACGCUGAGGCACGAAAGCGUGGGGAUCAAACAGGAUUAGAAACCCUUGUAGUCC
rnacentral:rRNA from 1 species